GACAUAUAAACAAUUUCUUAUUUUCUACUUUCAAGAUCACGCAUAAAUUUUCUCUAACCUUAAAAGAGAGAUAGCACGUGAUGUUUAAACAGACAAUGGUGGGGAUUGAGCCAAACGCUAUCCAUGCACUACCUUGGAAGCAGUAGCAUGGAUAGCGCGCGUUUAUGACGUCAAACGCUGCGGACAGUGACGUCAUCAUAAUUUUGAUAGCGCUAUCCAGCGUCUCCGCGAACAGCGGUAGUGCUACGUAGCGCUAAUAGUGAGCUCCCCGAACGCACCCAUAUAAUCAAAGAUGCGCCAAUGGCCCCCCACCAUGACUGUAUCGAGGAUGGACUUUUCUUUAGGAUCUAGACCGGGUUCGAGAAAUCAACUAGUUUCUUGAGUAACAAGGUUCCAGACUCCGACUGACUUGCUCCGGUUCCGCAUCUUCCUCGGAGCCGGGAGCUGACAGCCGGAAGAUACUUCUAACGCCAUCUGUGACGCCAUCUACCUCCGCUUUGGCCUCGCACGCCACCUAUUCCACGCCGCCAUCUUACAUAUACUGGUCUUACAACUGCUAUCCACCAUCUUGUACCCAUACGGAGACUGGAUGGGGGCUAGGGCCGGGGGCUGGGGUCUGGAGUAGUGGAGAUAGUAAACAAUGCGAGCCUGCUCCAAGUUACGAUCAAGUGAAGUUCUACAGACCACAAGAAAUCUGCUGGCAAAUAUUGACAAUCAGCAAAUUCUUUCAACCGCCAAUAAAAAUAUAAAUGAUAAUAUAGAUUCCAACAAUAAUGAUGAUAAAGAAAAUCAGAUAGAUCAAAGCAAUGAUACAGGGGUUAUAAAUUGUAACAAUAAUAUAAACAAUACUGUGGAUUUUGAAAUCUACCCAACGGAGGAUAUGUGAACAUUUAGGUCCACAAAAUAUUGCUGGAAACGCAUCUCUAAUUCCAAUAAGAGAUAACUUAUUCGCACGAAAUGUAAUUUUCGAAGAUUUUCCAACAGGUAGCCAAAAUAUAAUUAAAAUUUUAGAGAACACGAUAGAGAUUAUAUAAAACGCAAUUAAGACGACAAAAUAAAUUUUUUGAACAAUUAAAACAAAAAAAUGAUGCAGUAAUAUUUGCAGCAGCAGGUCUAAGAGAUAAUAAUUUUUAAACUAUCCCUACAAAACCAUUUAAAAAGCAUCAAAAAUUACUGCAGUAUGACACUUCAUUGAAGAAUGAUGAAGAUGGAAAAAACAACUGAAAACAUUUUUCUAUUUGCUUGGAGGAGACACCCCAGGAUCAAAUAAAACAUAGCUUGAAAAAUAUGUUUUUCAAUAAAUUGGCUAUAAAAUGUUCAUGGAAAGGCUAGAAAGGAAACUUUGCCAUAAAUUCACUUCUAAUAGAUAUUAUAAAAAAGGCUGCUCGAAAGCAUUAUCCAAUGUUAACAGAUAGAUACUUUCUAAGUCAUGUUUCCGCCUGGUUUAAAUAUGCCAAAACACGUUAUGAUAGAGAGCAGGCAAAAGCACUUAGAAAGCAGAUAGAAUAAUCAGUUUUGUUUGGAAAUGGAAUUACAAGGAAAUGUACCUCAUAUAUGAUGUUCAACCGAUCCUGCAAAUGCAUCAAUAGUGCAACAUUAAAAUAAUACAUAUAUUUAUUUUAUAAAUAUUAGAAAAACUUAAAAAUACGUAGUACAUGUUAUAAAUAUAUAAUGAUAUAUUUUAUGUUGUUGCUGUUUUAUAUUUUUUUUAUUUUAUCACAAUAUUGUAUAUGAAAAUAAAUGUAAUUAAUAUGCGAAUUUUUGUUUUUCACUGAUCGUAUUAUGUACUGAUCGUAUUAUACACAUGUAUAAACGAAUGUAUAAAGCCCAAUCUACAAUGAAUCAUUAAUUGUUGAUCAGAGUGUCUGAAGUCCUAAGUCAUAAGAAAUGAUAUUUGCAAAUGCCAUCUCUUAUAACUUAGAACUUCAGACACUCUGAUCAACGAUUAUAUGACUUAUUGUAGAUUAAGCUGUAUACAUUUGUUACAAAAACGUUGCAAAUUAACCGUGAAGCGGAAAAUAGUUCCCGGAACGUUGUAUAAAGAACGUUGUAUAAACGUUAUUUUAGGAAUAAAAGUUUGUAACGUUUCC
rnacentral:lncRNA from 1 species